ACCUGGCUGGCUUGGUCAGAAGAGCAUGAGACUAUUGAUCUUAGGGUCGUAAGUUCAAGUCCCAUGUUGGGUG
rnacentral:tRNA from 1 species